rnacentral:tRNA from 1 species
GGCUUUGUAGCCUAGUGGCAUUUUGGUGGUGGGUUAAGGCUUAGAACCAAUAGGUCCUGGGUUUGAUUCCCACAAGGGGG